rnacentral:rRNA from 1 species
AUGGCUGUGUCUUAUAAAGAGGUCUCCCUCUGUCCGCGCCUGCGCGAGCUCAAGCUGACCAAAUUCUCGACUCACAACCGAGACCUCAAGGUCCACUCGGUGUCACUGCAGGAGCUUACAGUGGAAAAUGUAUUGAUACCCAGUAUAGACAUCGUCGCCCCCUCGCUUAAGAAAGUGACCAUGUCCGCAUGCUCUCGCAUUGACGAGCUCAGCAUCUCCGUGUUGGCACCAAUAGCGGAAAAUAUCUCUUGUCAAUGGUCCUGCUUUUAUUCAGCAUGGCAUGGGCAUAUUGGUUUUGGUAUUUGGUGCCUCUACAGUGCUAUGCGGAAGCUUAAGGUUGGCCUAGGAAGAUCAUGGGAGAAAGAAGGAUGCCCAACAGAUUGUCAUUGUCGGCCUACGAAUUGGAACACCAAAACUAUUGCCUUGACUGCCCUCGAGGAAAUGGAGAUCGAUGGAUUCAUGGGAGAGGACCAUGAAUGUGAUUUCGUGGAAUUGGUAUUCAUGUCCACGCCAAUGCUUACAAGGGUGAUCGUGAAGCUGUCACAUGAGCUCUCCUCAAGUAGUGAUGGAUGCACAAAACUAUACAACAUCUUCAAGAGGGACGACGACGACGACACGGACGGCGAAGACGAUCCGGCAGGACAGGCCGGCCACACUUAUGAGGUGGUCAUCUGA